ensembl:lncRNA
CAAAAACUCCACUAUACACUGAGACAGCAGUAUGCAUGGAGCAUUUGAAUGUUAACAUCAAGUAAGUCGCUGAAAACAUGAAACGAAGCUGAGGACAUGUUGUGAAAAAUACUGUGACAAAGCAAACAAAAAACAACUGUAUGAAAAUGAAGUAUUUGCUGUAGAGACAGAAACAUCCAGAUAGAAAUUAAAAAGUGCUUUUGCUUUUUCCCCAUCCACAACCAGACCUUAAAUUAAAGAAGCAAUUGCUUAGAAGUUAUUCCAAAGCCAGUCUUUUGGUAAAAUGGGAUUAUGAUGGGAAUGUGCAAUUCCUAAACUAAACAUCCAGAUAGUAAACACAGAUCAUGCAUGACCUGAAAGGGACCGCAUCACUGAUGUUUGAAACUGAAGCCUUAAAAAGGAACCACUCCAAGCCACAACAUAUCGAGAUAAACACUGGCUGCAGAUGUGUACGUCUGGAAAAUAUUGUUUGCUGUAUGACAUCCACUGGUUAUUGUGAAGGAGACAUGCUGCAAGGCCACAGCUGGCAGCUGCGAGAAAACGUGUCACGGCAUAGACCUUCAGACCUAGGUUGGCAUUGCCAGCAGCUGAAACUCCUGGAGCUGUAAACACUGUUGAUAUUGUCUAAAGGAAAAAACAAACAAACAAACAAGAAACAACAAAAAACAGCUCAGGAAGACCUGACAAAUGUACGCUUGCUCCUGCAUCAGUGUGCUAGGGAUGGAUUCUGGUAUACACGCAUGGCUGGUUGUUCACUAGUAAGGUACCAAUCAAAAAAAAGACUGUUCAUUUACAGUUAAUUCUAUUUAUCACCAGUCAGGGAAUCAUACAGGGGAUUCACCACCAGCCUGCCACUGGGGGGAAAACAACUGGUGUUGCUGCCUCCAAGGGUCUCAAACAGGAUCUGAUUUGGCAUCUCCGGUAGGCUGUCCAUGCCAUCUGGAGAAGAGGCUUUCUGCAGAGUGAAUGAAACAGCUGCAAGAGUGUUUUUUAGGGAGGGAAGUGAAAAAUGUGGCAUUAGAGGAUUUGCAACCAUUGAAGAGUUUCUCCAAGUAUUAAGGGACUGAUUUCACUCCCUUUCGAAUGAAGUCAACACCACUCAUUGCUCAAACAUCUAUUUUAUAACAUGGGUUAUUGAAAUCACUGGACUUUUCAACUUAUUCCAGAAACUUUAUCCCGGAGCCACUGUAUUUCCUAUGAGUUUGUAACAUCUACAGAAUAUUAUUUAAAACCUCCUUUAAAAUGGCAACCC